rnacentral:rRNA from 1 species
UACGUAGGGUGCGAGCGUUGUCCGGAAUUAUUGGGCGUAAAGAGCUCGUAGGCGGUCUGUCGCGUCGGAUGUGAAAAUCCAGGGCUCAACCCUGGACCUGCAUUCGAUACGGGCAGACUAGAGUUCGGCAGGGGAGACCGGAAUUCCUGGUGUAGCGGUGAAAUGCGCAGAUAUCAGGAGGAACACCGGUGGCGAAGGCGGGUCUCUGGGCCGAUACUGACGCUGAGGAGCGAAAGCGUGGGGAGCGAACAGG